rnacentral:snRNA from 1 species
UACCCAAUGGGUUUUAACCCAUU